CUUGAGAUCACCACUGAACUAUACAGACAGGAGACACCUGUGUCGCAGUGACCAGGGUGCAUAGUCUAUGUCACAAGCUUUGUGAAUCUACAGUACACCCCCUGCACUCCAUCAUACACACUGGAAUAUCUGGUCCCAUGUCUCUGUUGCAGCACCCUUCAGAGGUCUGCCACCUGCUGGAUUGGCCUCUACCCCCCGAAAGCACCUCCAUAUCGUCUGAGAAAUGAGGUAGGCUCUUGACCUGCGCACGUAUUCACAUUGUGUCUCUGAGCAUUUGAAACAGCAUGGCGGGGGACAGCACCUCUGUCCGUGGUGUAUUGUAAACACCCACCCACUGAAUAAACAGUACAACUGGCACACAUCAGACUACAAGUUAAAGCAAGUCGGUAUGUAUCAUAAACUC